ACCACCCUUAUUGUAAAGAACUUUGUCCUUAUGUCCAGUCCAUCUCCUGCUGGGGUCUGGAGAAGGCAUCUAGGGGCGCUCCUUCCCAGUCUCUCCUACACACAUCCACUUUUUAAUUUCUGCAGUCCCCAGGAAACCAUCGGUGCCAUAACUCACAUCGUACUGGGAGAUGCUGUGAUGACACCCAACAUUGUAUGCAAUUCAGAACCUACUUUGAAGUGUGCCAUUUUCGCUGUGAAGCAAACCAGACCAGCACCUGCUUACACAACAAUAGUUAUCCCUUUUUCUAAAUGGCUGCUUUAUUAGCAAUUGUUCAUUCUACUUUAAAAGGUGUAAACAGAUAGAUGGCUUCACCACAUAAAUCACGUUCACAUGAAGAUAGAUGUGCUUUCUGCAGAAGUGAAAUUUGUGCUGCCUUUUGCUUACUCCUAAUAAUAGGAACGUGUAUGCAAAUUUCCUAUCUCCCAGCAGCUACAAUAAAUUACUCUGGAGCACCUGAACCCCUUCCAGCUUGAUAUAGAAGUUCAAAGGAAAGGUAAAUAUAUCUCUUUUCUUUUUUUCCCAAAAAGGUAAGGCAGGUGCACUCGAUAGCUUGAGUAAAGGUUUUAACCCCAUGUUAACAGAUUUGAUGGUGCUGCGAUCUUGAUUCCAUACCACCUCCUCACACAUGGAUUGCUAUUCAAUAAGCAGGCAAAAAUGUAAAUGACACAGGCACAAAUAAGCCCCCAAAGAUGUUAUUGCUCUUUAUGUAAGAAACAACCCCAGCAGUGGCCCUGAGUAAAUCUUCAGCUGAUAUUUGUUGCCUCUGAUUGUCACGGUCAGUCCCAGUCAGCUUCUUUCCCUACAUACUUCUUGGGCCUAAAGCUGUUCUUGUUGCUGCUGGGGUCAGGUGGCUGAGGUGUUCCUCUGCAGAGCUAGCUCUUGUCACCUGGGUGAAUGUGGACCCUGUGCAGCUGUUUGGGUGUCUUCUGGGAGAAGCAAUGUUGCAUGCUGGUGACUUGCUUCACGUGAAGUAGCCAGGCCUGCUGUCACCUCUCCCCAUGGUUGCUGGAUGGUGCAGCAUUACCUUCAGCCAUGUGUCGUGGCAGAAGAGGAGAUGCGUGCCUUCAUCUGUGUGGAUUAACAGUUGUGCCCUACAUGCAGGACUAGAGAAGGACACGCUUGCCUGGCUAUUGCUAGUACACUCCGCUUCCAAACAGCACGUACGAAGAUUGGGAGGAUGUUUCCUAUCAAUAAGUAUUUUAAACCAAAGGCCUCUGAAAUCUAUUCCAUUCUCCAAAGCAUGGGAAAUGGAGCUGAGUGAAGGCAUCAGGUUGUAGCUGUCUGUCAGAGGCACAUAUGAAGUACUUACCCUCCCUUCAACCAAGUUUCUGGAACCUGGACUUCUUCCAUGAAAUCCACACCUGUAUUUGACAGUUACUGGGAUUUUGCUAAGGUAAACUGGACCUGAAGGAGGAGACGCUGCCAAAAAUGAAGGAUCUGAUCAUGUCACUGAAAUAUCUGGUUGGAUUUGGAGAGAAGAUUUUAUUUCUUUAAAGUUUAGCCCCUUUUUCUUGCCCUCUGGAGUCUGCCCCAGAGGAGCAGUGUUCUAAGACUGGGGAAUGCUCCAGAGGGCCUGCCCAAGCUUUCACCAGAAGUCUGCUUAUAAUCAACCUCAUGUUGCUCCAGCGAACUGGGGACCCCCUCUUCCCACCACCACUGAAAAAAACAGCCCCUAAUUUAUAGAGAGUAUUAGGCUUAGGGAAAUAAUUUUCCAAAUGUUACUUCAAGAGUAAUGCAAAUUAUCUGAAAAUAUGAGGAUAUUUGUUUAACUUCUUAAUGUGCAUUUCAGCUACAAAAAUACAUUCCAAGAUAAGAGUUA